CAGCCGCCGCGGUAAUACAGAGGGUGCGAGUGUUAAUCGGAUUUACUGGGCGUAAAGCGUGCGUAGGCGGCUUUUUAAGUCGGAUGUGAAAUCCCUGAGCUUAACUUAGGAAUUGCAUUCGAUACUGGGAAGCUAGAGUAUGGGAGAGGAUGGUAGAAUUCCAGGUGUAGCGGUGAAAUGCGUAGAGAUCUGGAGGAAUACCGAUGGCGAAGGCAGCCAUCUGGCCUAAUACUGACGCUGAGGUACGAAAGCAUGGGGAGCAAACAGGAUUAGAUACCCGCGUAGUCCCUGUCUCUUAUAC
rnacentral:rRNA from 1 species